GGAUUGUGGCUCUGCGGUAGAACACUCGUCUAGCACAUGCAAGGCCCUGGGUUCGAUCCUCAGCACCA
rnacentral:tRNA from 1 species